CCUACGGGAGGCAGCAGUGAGGAAUAUUGGUCAAUGGCCGUAAGGCUGAACCAGCCAAGUCGCGUGAGGGAGGAAUGCCCUAUGGGUUGUAAACCUCUUUUAUCCGGGGAUAAAGGUUUCCACGCGUGCAUGUUUGCAUGUACCGCAUGAAUAAGGACCGGCUAAUUCCGUGCCAGCAGCCGCGGUAAUACGGAAGGUCCGCGCGUUAUCCGGAUUUAUUGGGUUUAAAGGGUGCGUAGGCCGGUCUUUCAGCGUGCCGUGAAAUUUUGUGGCUCAACCAUGAGAGUGCGGCGCGACCUGGAGAGCUUGAGUGCGAGGAAGGCAUGCGGAAUGCGUGGUGUAGCGGUGAAAUGCUUAGAUAUCACGAAGAACCCCGAUUGCGAAGGCAGCCUGCCGCAGCGUUACUGACGCUGAAGCUCGAAAGCGCGGGUAUCGAACAGGAUUAGAUACCCCUGUAGUC
rnacentral:rRNA from 1 species